rnacentral:rRNA from 1 species
CCAUAAACUAUGCCGACUAGGGAUUGGGCGACGCCUCAUGUAUAUGACGCGCCCAGCACCUUACGAGAAAUCAAAGUUUUUGGGUUCUGGGGGGAGUAUGGUCGCAAGGCUGAAACUUAAAGGAAUUGACGGAAGGGCACCACCAGGAGUGGAGCCUGCGGCUUAAUUUGACUCAACACGGGGAAACUCACCAGGUCCAGACACAAUAAGGAUUGACAGAUUGAGAGCUCUUUCUUGAUUUUGUGGGUGGUGGUGCAUGGCCGUUCUUAGUUGGUGGAGUGAUUUGUCUGCUUAAUUGCGAUAACGAACGAGACCUUAGCUUUUAUUUGCGCAGCCUAACAAUUUUGUUGGGUUUGCGCCAUAAAAGGACUAUCGAAUUCAAGUCGAUGGAAGUUUGAGGCAAUAACAGGUCUGUGAUGCCCUUAGACGUUCUGGGCCGCACGCGCGCUACACUGACGGAGCCAGCGAGUUUACCUUAGCCGAGAGGUUUGGGAAAUCUUGAGAAACUCCGUCGUGCUGGGGAUAGAGCAUUGUAAUUUUUGCUCUUCAACGAGGAAUUCCUAGUAAGCGCAAGUCAUCAGCUUGCGUUGAUUACGUCCCUGCCCUUUGUACACACCGCCCA